rnacentral:rRNA from 1 species
UCUACGGCCAGUACCACCCUGAACGCGUCCGAUCUCGUCUGAUCUCGGAAGCUAAGCAGGGUCGGGCCUGGUCAGUACUUGGAUGGGAGAAUGAAUUUUGAUUUUUUUAUUUUAAUCAACGUGGGUCUUAUAG